rnacentral:rRNA from 1 species
CGCGUAGGCGGGCCAGCCAGUCUGUGGUGAAAGCCUCCAGCUUAACUGGAGAAGUGCCGUGGAUACUGCUGGCCUCGAGGAGGGUAGGGGCAUCUGGAACGGUCGGUGGAGCGGUGAAAUGCGUAGAUAUCUGGAGGAAUACCGGUGGCGAAGGCGGCAUCCUGGACCGACAUUGACGCUGAGGAGCGAAAGCUAGGGGAGCGAAACG